rnacentral:rRNA from 1 species
UACAGAGGGUGCGAGCGUUGUCCGGAAUCACUGGGCGUAAAGGGCGCGUAGGUGGCGCGGUGCGCGUGCCGUGAAAGCCCGGGGCUCAACCCCGGGUCGGCGGUGCGAACGGCCGUGCUCGAGCGUACGAGAGGCAGGCGGAAUUCCGGGUGUAGCGGUGGAAUGCGUAGAGAUCCGGAAGAACACCGGUGGCGAAGGCGGCGAUCUGGGGAAGAUACUGACGCUGAGGUGCGAAAGCGUGGGGAGCAAACAGG